rnacentral:tRNA from 1 species
UGAACCUUUAGCUCAGUUGGUAAGAGCAGACGGCUCAUAACAUUCUGCUCUUAGGUUCAAAUCCUACAAGGUAUAUC